UAACAUAUAUUUUAUAUUGUUAUAUUUCCAUCCAUCCAUUUACUACCGCUUGUCCCUUUUGGGGUCGCUGGAGCCUAUCUCAGCUGCAUUCGGGCGGAAGGCUGGGUGUAAUUAUGUUUUCAAAGGUUAUAUUUCGAUAAAAAGGCAGAACGUGAAUGGUAAAGUUUGCUGGCAUGGAGCCUAACAAAGAUGGCUGACAAAUCAGAUGAACAGAAGAAAUGUUAGGAGUAAAGAAAUGCGUGGAGUUCAAUUAAGUGGUGUGCUGGAGCAAAUCAAGUUUUCAAGAAGUGGGUCAUCCUCCUGGCAGGAAAGAAAAUCUAUUCUAGAAGCACCUUCCAUUUCCUUAGGGAUGUGAGGUCUUGGGGUGAAAUGGCUGUUUCCCAAAUGGACUGUUCGUUCAGGAGGACAAUCAGCCAUGUUGAUCGUGAUGUGCGCCUCGAUCAGCGACCUUUGACCACUUCCUGUCUCUGAGCCACCAGUAGAUGAUGCAUAAUCACAGGUGCACACAUGCUGCAGCACUCCAAACACACAAAAAAGAGCCACUUUAAUCAUCUCCGCCCUCACUUGGAACUGUGGAAAACAAGCCCUCGCUGCAGCCCAGAUGGCCUUUUCCUUCCCCUUUUCCCUGCCCUCAUUAAAUAUGGAGCAUCCCAGGGAGCUGUAACACACAAGGACAUGGCAGCGCUUGCCGGCUUUGCUUGUAUAUGUCAUCAAGAUUUAAGUGUGCUCUGCUCUUACACUCCAAAACUGUGUGUGUGUUUGUUUGUGUGUUUGGGGGGCGGGUGGGAUUAGCAACACCUUACAAAAACAUAACUACCCAUUUCAAAGUGUGUGAAA